rnacentral:tRNA from 1 species
GGGCCCGUAGCUCAGCCUGGUUAGAGUACCAGUCUUAUAAGCUGGUGGUCGGCAGUUCAAAUCUGCUCGGGCCCA